GUGAACCGAACAGGACGGUUGUACGACUGUGCAGCUGCCACUGGCCUGUGUCAACCCAUAUCACUGCACACACCACCAGAGGCCAUGAACAUGUCCCUGGGCCUGUCCCUAGCCGCCUCCACCAAUCGCUCCUGGCUGCUGGCCUGCGGCCCAACCGUGCACAGAGCCUGUGGGGAGAAUAUGUAUGCAGAAGGCUUCUGCUUCCUGUUGGACUCCCACCUGCAGACCAUUAGGACGAUGCCUGCUGCCC